UUAAGAUUUGACUAGUUUGAUUCUGUUGUUAAGAUCAAGUGAAAUAUAGUUAUUCCUGCCAAAUUACAUAUUAUAUAUGAACAUUGUAAUAAUUUUAACUUUUAAGACUCACAUUGAUGUGAGUUGACUUGAACAUUGUUCUCUUGUUGAUGGUUUAAACCCAACUACAGAACAAGGAGCAUAAGAAAACUAAUGUUACAUAUUCUGAGAAAAAAAAAUAACAAAAAAUGCUCAGUCAGUCAAAAUAAUGAGAUCUGAUAUUUGAAAUGGAACAAUUAAAAAUAUCCAAGUGAGAACUUACAGUAUUACAGGCAUCACACAAAUUAUAAAGAGGUGAAUACUUCAAUGUAUUCGUACGAGGUGUCGGCAUAUAACAUUAUUGUAGGAAAUCCAAUUAUAAAUUUAUGAUAAUA